GAGCACGUAGGUGGGUUUGUAAGUCAGACGUGAAAGCCUUCUGUUCAACGGAAGAAUUGCAUCUGAAACUGCAAAUCUUGAGUAUAGGAGGGGAGAAUGGAACUUCUGGUGGAGCGGUGAAAUGCGUAGAUAUCAGAAGGAACGCCGGCGGCGAAAGCGAUUCUCUGGCCUAUUACUGACACUGAGUGUGCGAAAGCUAGGGGAGCAAACGGGAUUAGAUACCCCGGUAGUCCUAGCCGUAAACGAUGGGCACUAAGUAGAGGGGUUUU
rnacentral:rRNA from 1 species